UCCCUUGUCGUCUAAUGGUAGGACACAAGAUUUUGAUUCUUGGUAUGGUAGUUCGAAUCUAUCCGAGGGAGCCA
rnacentral:tRNA from 1 species